GACGAACGCUGGCGGUGUGCUUAACACAUGCAAGUCGAACGGUAAGGCCCUUUCGGGGGUCCACGAGUGGCGAACGGGUGAGUAACACGUGAGUAACCUGCCCUCAUCUCUGGGAUAACAGUCGGAAACGGUUGCUAAUACUGGAUAUGAGCUUGCAAGGCAUCUUGUGGGUUGGAAAGAUUUUUUUGGUUGGGGAUGGACUCGCGGCCUAUCAGCUUGUUGGUGAGGUAGUGGCUCACCAAGGCUUCGACGGGUAGCCGGCCUGAGAGGGCGACCGGCCACAUUGGGACUGAGAUACGGCCCAAACUCCUACGGGAGGCAGCAGUGGGGAAUAUUGCACAAUGGACGGAAGGCUGAUGCAGCAACGCCGCGUGCGGGAUGACGGCCUUCGGGUUGUAAACCGCUUUCAAUUGUGACGAAGCUUUUUGUGACGGUAGCAGUAGAAGAAGCACCGGCUAACUACGUG
rnacentral:rRNA from 1 species